rnacentral:rRNA from 1 species
GAAUUCGCCCUUAGAGUUUGAUCCUGGCUCAGGACGAACGCUGGCGGCGCGCCUAACACAUGCAAGUCGAACGAGCGAGAGAGAGCUUGCUUUCUUGAGCGAGUGGCGAACGGGUGAGUAACGCGUGAGGAACCUGCCUCAAAGAGGGGGACAACAGUUGGAAACGACUGCUAAUACCGCAUAAGCCCACGGCUCGGCAUCGAGCAGAGGGAAAAGGAGCAAUCCGCUUUGAGAUGGCCUCGCGUCCGAUUAGCUAGUUGGUGAGGUAAUGGCCCACCAAGGCGACGAUCGGUAGCCGGACUGAGAGGUUGAACGGCCACAUUGGGACUGAGACACGGCCCAGACUCCUACGGGAGGCAGCAGUGGGGAAUAUUGCACAAUGGGGGAAACCCUGAUGCAGCGACGCCGCGUGGAGGAAGAAGGUCUUCGGAUUGUAAACUCCUGUUGUUGGGGAAGAUAAUGACGGUACCCAACAAGGAAGUGACGGCUAACUACGUGCCAGCAGCCGCGGUAAAACGUAGGUCACAAGCGUUGUCCGGAAUUACUGGGUGUAAAGGGAGCGCAGGCGGGAAGACAAGUUGGAAGUGAAAACCAUGGGCUCAACCCAUAAACUGCUUUCAAAACUGUUUUUCUUGAGUAGUGCAGAGGUAGGCGGAAUUCCCGGUGUAGCGGUGGAAUGCGUAGAUAUCGGGAGGAACACCAGUGGCGAAGGCGGCCUACUGGGCACCAACUGACGCUGAGGCUCGAAAGUGUGGGUAGCAAACAGGAUUAGAUACCCUGGUAGUCCGCACCGUAAACGAUGAUU